GUUUGAUAUUCUAGUAACUGAAAUUCGCUUUGUGAAUCUUAUGUCAUAUUUUUUAUCUUCAAAUGAUUCAAUGUCUUUUCAAAAAUGCUAAACAUUGCGAUAGCCCCUAUUCCAGCCCCUACAGAGUUGAGUUGUUGGAAGGCUAGGUUAAACAAGUUAGAGAUCGAGUUGUGGUAUUUACAUAAACAUAAUCUACAGUAUAAUGUAAGGCUGUAUAUCUAAAAAUCUAUUUCAGAAAACGCACGAAAUUCAGUCAUAUAUGGGUGGAAAUAUUAGGGAGCUUUAGAUUUGACUACGGCUACGAGAUCUAGUACGACUACGAGAAUUUUCCGUUCAAUAUCUGCUCCAAAAAGGUUAAAACUGCACGUAGUUUGGUUCAAGUGUUGUUUUAAAGAAGUGCUAUGCCAAAGAGAGGACGAUAGCAAGUCUUAAGUAACAGAAAUUUAACGGGAAAAUCUCGUAGUCGUACUAGAUCUCAUAGCCGUAGUCAAAUCUAAAGUUCCCUCCGCGCGGUCAUUGCGUCCAGCAAACUUUUCAGCUUGACUCAGAGACAACAACACAAACCUCACAGCUUGUCAACAUGAUCUACUCGUGUUGGUUUGGAAACUCAGUAGAAUAACCAUCAAUAUAACUCAUUAUCUAUGUUUAUAGUGGACGUAUGUAAAAAUGUGGAAAACAUAAAUUAUUUCUAAUUACAAUUCAUUCUACUGUAAAAUUGUUCGAGUUUGAUAUACAUGUUUAAUUAAUUAAAGUGCAUAUGACAUGAAAUUUCUUAUUUUCUUAUUAAAUGAAAGAACUCUUUAAACUGUAGUGUAAC